UUGGUCCUCAAUGCUCUUCAACAUCGUACAUUAUUUGGCCUCUUUUACUUUUUUGGAUUCGAGCGUCACUGAUGAGUCUUUUGUAGACGAAACGCGCGUCUGGCGUAUAUAUAAGAUUUAGUCCUGGUAUCUAUGAGUUUAUUUAUAACCACUGGGUCGAUGACACUGCUGGUGGAGAUUUAUUUCCCCGAGGGUAUUACAAGCCCAGUAGUCAGCACUGCUUUUGUGCUGACAUGAAUUAUCAUUGACCUUGUUAUAUUUAUAAAUUAACUGUUUACAAAAUUUAGAAUUUUUUGAAAUACUAAGGCUUUUCUACCUCAGGCAUAGAUUACCUUAGCAAAACUUUUAUGAAUUUUGGUCCUCAAUGCUCUUCAACAUCGUACAUUAUUUGGCCUCUUUUAUUUUUUUGGAUUCGAGCGUCACUGAUGAGUCUUUUGUAGACGAAACGCGCGUCUGGCGUAUAUAUAAAAUUUAGUCCUGGUAUCUAUGAUGAGUUUAUUUAUAAGAUUUAUUCAUAGAACACAAUUUCAUUACAGAAUAGCUUGAUGUAAACAUCAACAAUCUUUUAAAUUUUAGGUUAUUUUUGUUUGCAUAAACGGAAUAUGUGGUUCUGGACAUUCUUGAACAAUUAAGAGGCUGUCCAAGUAAAUAUCAGGCAAAUCCUAUGAUAUUGGUGGCACAACCUAAUCUUUCCCACUGAAUUUUUGGUUCCAAUGCAAUGUUUAUAUAAUACAAAGGAUAUAUUUAAAAGAUAUUUUUGAAUCAACAGUGGAUGGUUAUCAAAAGUACCAGGAUUAUAAUUUAGUACGCCAGACGCGCGUUUCGUCUACAUAAGACUCAUCAGUGAAGCUCAUAUCGAAAUAGUUAUAAAGCCAAACAAGAACAAAGCUGAAGAGCAUUGAGGGUCCAAAUUUCCAAAAAGUUGUGCCAAAUACGGCAAAGGUUUUCUAUUUCUUAUUUAGAUUGCUCAGAAAAUGAUUUUAAAGUUCACUAACAAUGCCAAUAAAUUUUGUACAAAAUGAAGAGCUAUCUCCCCUUUUCAAUGAAUUUUCAGUGCUUUCUAUGUAUUUUUUUCUCUUUAUUUGUUGCAGUAAAUAAAAAAACAAAAUUUAACUUUAAGAAAGAAUAAAUUUGUGAUAUGAAAUAGAUAACAAAAAAUUUGAAAACAAAAUAUGUCAUGUGCCACCCACUGCCUGAUUUUUCAAUGGACACUGACCCUCUUAAAUGUUACCGUCUGUAUACAGUAAAAUUUCACAAUCAUUCUAAAAACAAAAUAUUCUGAAGAAAAUCUUCAAGGCUGCAUCUUUAGUAUGCUUAAAUCGUCAUUUUGUUUUGUUCAUUAACAACCUUUCUCCUCUUUGAAGAUUUCAAGCAAUGUCUGAACCUCACUUUCUUUACAUAUCUU
rnacentral:lncRNA from 1 species